CUCUCUCUCUCUCUCUCUCUCUCUCUCUCUCUCUCUCUCUCUCUCUCUCUCUCUCUCUCUCUCUGUCUCUCUCUCUCUCUCUCUGUUGCUCUCUCUCUCGCUGUCUCUCUCUCUCUCUCGCUGUCUCUCUCUGUCUCUCUCUCUCUCUCUCUCUCUGUCUCUCUCUCUCACUCACUCUGUACAUUUGUUACUAUUUGCUAGCAUCGCAGUGGAAAGCCAUAAUGGAGAUGCACAGGGAAGAUACAGCUAGCACGCACGAGACAAGUUUAUUCUGAAGGAGGCACACCACUCAAAUAAUCACACCGGAGGAGAUGCUUGUUCUAGCCCCUCAAUCUUUCCAGGAAUGGAGCCGUCAUACAUUUUUGAAGAUGUUUGUGUCAUCGAGUGGAUGCUCCUCUUUGAGGGAUGAGAAAUAGGAUGAGUAAUUUACAGACUUUGAUGUGGGAUUAAAAAAAAAAUGCAAUCAUCACUUCAGGAAAUCCUGGAGUGUUUUUUUCCGGCGUCCUGGAACGCACCCUGUCUGGUUGCCGGGCAAUGUAGCCAGUUGGGAGUUCUGAUUACCCGCACCUGUAUCCCAUCAGCUAUCUGCACACCUGGUCCUGAUCAUCAUCUCUCCUCUUCAUAAGCCCGGACCUGACAUCCAUUCCCUGCCGGAUCGUUAGCCAUGAACAUUACUCACCCGGAUCAUUUACCCCAUGCCCGCCUGGUCGGAGGAGGAUUCCGCUACCCCAUUGGAUCCACCUAUUUACUCCCAUCAACUCACCACUGCUGCCUGCUACGCCACCUGGAUAUAUCUACCCAUUCACAUUCACUUGUAAAUAAAUACUCACCUUC